rnacentral:lncRNA from 1 species
UGGUGAUGACUCUAUUGUACGGGAAGGAGAUACUAGUCUAUAAGGAGAUAGUGUCAGUCCUUUGGACAAAUGAGCAGAGGGAGCGGAUAGUGAGGGAUAGUACAGAGCUUUCUCAAGAUGCCAUGGUGGCCGCUGAAAGAUCUUGGAGGGAGAAGGAUAGAUGCGAGGCAGCGGGGAGGCAGAAUUUUUCAAAGACUAUCAAGGAGGUAAGGUAUUAUAUGUGCUGGCAGCUAGGGC